rnacentral:rRNA from 1 species
GGUAGUCCACGCCGUAAACGAUGUCGACUUGGAGGUUGUGCCCUUGAGGCGUGGCUUCCGGAGCUAACGCGUUAAGUCGACCGCCUGGGGAGUACGGCCGCAAGGUUAAAACUCAAAUGAAUUGACGGGGGCCCGCACAAGCGGUGGAGCAUGUGGUUUAAUUCGAUGCAACGCGAAGAACCUUACCUACUCUUGACAUCCAGAGAACUUAGCAGAGAUGCUUUGGUGCCUUCGGGAACUCUGAGACAGGUGCUGCAUGGCUGUCGUCAGCUCGGGUUGUGAAAUGUUGGGUUAAGUCCCGCAACGAGCGCAACCCUUAUCCUUUGUUGCCAGCGGUUAGGCCGGGAACUCAAAGGAGACUGCCAGUGAUAAACUGGAGGAAGGUGGGGAUGACGUCAAGUCAUCAUGGCCCUUACGAGUAGGGCUACACACGUGCUACAAUGGCGCAUACAAAGAGAAGCGACCUCGCGAGAGCAAGCGGACCUCAUAAAGUGCGUCGUAGUCCGGAUUGGAGUCUGCAACUCGACUCCAUGAAGUCGGAAUCGCUAGUAAUCGUAGAUCAGAAUGCUACGGUGAAUACGUUCCCGGGCCUUGUACACACCGCCCGUCACACCAUGGGAGUGGGUUGCAAAAGAAGUAGGUAGCUUAACCUUCGGGAGGGCGCUUACCACUUUGUGAUUCAUGACUGGGGUGAAGUCGUAACAAGGUAACCGUAGGGGAACCUGC